rnacentral:lncRNA from 1 species
GUGAACGGAAAAUUAGCGGUGUAACUAUUUAAUCAAUCAAUGUAAAGGAGAAGAAAAUAAUUGAAGGGUUGAAGGGCUGAGGAUUGUAAUAUUUGUUGUCCAAAUGCCCGAUAUGCAGUGUGAGUGUAGGUUAACUAACUUAGUUAAGUUACCGGUACGUCAUGUUAGGCGAGCUCCCUUUUCACAUUUACGACGCGGGAUAUUCUAUGCCUCGACGCACUUUCAAACUUUUACUACGUAAUAUACUCGUAGUAGAAGCAGAAAGCACUCAAAUACUCUGUUUGCAUUGGUACCCCUGAAAUUUUAUUCAUCCCUGGUGGAAUCGCUUAAACGUUGUGUUAAGUUAGUUGCAAGGAUAUGACCCUAUCCCGCUUUCUGCAUGCAGGUACCUACCUGUUCCUUUGCUCCUUCUGCCAUUAAUUGAUGGGUAAUUUUCCUCCAUCUGCUUUAGUAGCUACCGUAGCCCCUUCAAUCAAAUCCGGGGCAUUUACGAGGGAACACCAUAUUUUCACCAGAUGGCAAUUGCUAUAAACUAAAUGCUCAGAAUUGAUGCUGGCUAGAUAAUAAAAAGGCAGAACACCGGUCCUUGGCGCGCGUCUAUAGUGUGAGAAACUUUAGGUGCUUGAAGAAAAAAAGCAUUUGGAUUAAUUAGCUCAUGCAAUAGCAUGGUUUAUCUUAAGGAUGGAAUUUCGGUCAAGCAAGCCAGUCCGGAUACCAACAAAUUGACCACCAGAUGAUGAAUCUCACAACAGACCUGAGGCUUAUGGGUUUUCGUGCUCAUAGUACUAAAAUCUAGCUAUACCUUUUUUUUUUUUUUUUUUUUUUUUUUUUUUUUUUUUUUUCUUUUUCAAAAUGCCGUUGCUGGAUUUUGGUUGACAUUACUGGGUUGACUUUGAUUCGAAAUAAAACAUUCUAGAAUCGUUUACCUUUAUUAUCCUCGGCUCCUAAGCACACACCAUAGGGACGAGAUACCUGAUAUCAAUCCAGAUUUCUACCGAUUGAGGAGAGAAGGAUACUAUAAUUAAUCUGAUUGUGGGCAAGAUCUCGAAUUUGGAGUCAACUGGUAAGUGAGGUUCGUCGGUUCACUUCAACUCAGUCGGCCAGAACAUACGCCCAUCCUGCCAAAUCGAUCAAUUUCUGAGUCCUGAUGGAGAUCGUUUGGCGGCAAUACUUACUUCUCAGGUAAUGCGUGCUUUGUUUUGAGCAUCUACAACAGCCAAGAGCCUACAAGCACGUUGAGCCCUAGUGAAUGUCGUCAUGGGGUGACGGUCUGAUACAUCAGAAGAACGCGAUAAGUAUGUUGGAGAAAGACAUGGCAAUACUUGAGAUUAAAUCAUAGUUUAGUUGAAGAACAGAUGCUGCUAUUCAAGGUUAAUCGAUAUUUCCUAAUCGGGCAACCACGCACCUGCCCAAUCUGGAAGGUUCCUGUAAGGGCUUCAGCGUGCCUUUGGGGCUUACUACGUAGUAGUCACUUACCGUUAGUUAACUAUCUAACUAGUUAACUAAUAGUUAUAACCAACGUAAACCUAAACGUACAUCCACU